CCUCUUUCAUUGUCCUUUAUCAAUUCUCCUCCACAUUGCUGCCCAAUUUGGAUUUGAUUGUCAAAUUCAAAUUGACUUAUUCAAUUUAUAGAUAUGAAGUAGAUAUAGAGGAGAAAACAUUCUUAAAGAUCUUCAUGGAAUCCUGCAUUUUUGUUUCAAGUAUUAUUUUUUUCGCAUUUGAUUUGUAUCAAAAUGUACUUGGUGUUUUUGUCAAAAAAAAAAAUGUACUUAGUGUUGUAAUUAAUUGAAUACAGAGGUGAAUAAAAUUUAUUUUGGUA